UACGGAGGGGGCUAGCGUUGUUCGGAAUUACUGGGCGUAAAGCGCGCGCAGGCGGUCUUCCAAGUCAGUGGUGAAAGCCCGGAGCUCAACUCCGGAACUGCCAUUGAAACUGUAAGACUUGAGGAUGAGAGAGGUGAGUGGAAUUCCCAGUGUAGAGGUGAAAUUCGUAGAUAUUGGGAAGAACACCGGUGGCGAAGGCGGCUCACUGGCUCAUAUCUGACGCUCAGGCGCGACAGCGUGGGGAGCAAACAGG
rnacentral:rRNA from 1 species